rnacentral:misc_RNA from 1 species
UUCAUGAUGUGGACACAGAUAAGGUUGGUCCUACUUUCUUGUAAAUUGGUCUGCUUUCGAUUUUAAGAGUAGCAUAUGCGUUUCCAAAAUUGUGUGAUAGCACAAAAUUUGAUUUCAAGUACUUGUGUUUGCAUAUAUGCUCAUGCAUGCAUGUGCUAACAGAGUAUGGAAUAGGUUAUUCUGAACUACUUUCUUUUCUUUAAAAUUAGAUUUAUUUGAAAGUUCAAAUCGUACCAUUAACCUUAAAAUAUGCUUUCUUCUUUGCGCGUGCACAUACCCUAGUACUUGUGCUUACCUCAGACAUCUCAGAGAAAUUUCAUGGUUGUUUGACAAUAGUUUACCACCUUUUUAUGUGGUCUGAAUUAGUGUGUUGUGGAUCCUUGGCAAUCUCAUUUUUCUUGUGUACCUCAUAAAAUUGUUGGUUCAUUUUCAUGCUUGAAUCCUCCCUGAAUGUUUUCUAUAAACUUGUAGGAUGGAAGAAUAAGUUACGAUG